UAUAGGUGUGCAUAUAUGUACCCAUAUAUGUACAUAUAAUAUAGGAAAACAGCCAAUUUUAUAUGUGUCACAUAUAUCAAAAACCUAUAUUAAACCAUAUGUUUAUAUAGGUUCUUUCCAUGUAGGCGUGUACCAGACCCAACACACAACUCACUUUUCUUUUCUUUUUUUCAGAAGAAGAGUCCACAGUCACAAUAACAAGAUCAUUGAGCUGUCUCCUAAUUGUGGUGAGCUACAUGUUUAGUCUCUUAUGUGCUAAACAUUAUGUAGCCUAAGGAAGCAGCCCUGACUCUGUAGUUUAUAUGAAGGAGCAUGCUGAGUAACUAUCCAGAACGUAGAUCCAAAGAAGAGAAAAGGGCACCAAGCAGAAACAUACCAUCUAAACUCCUUCGAUUCCUGUCAGACCAGAAAGACUUUCAGAAUCCUUGGAAGAUUUAAAGCCAUUGAAGUAUCAGUAUUGGAGAGGAAGAAGACCCAGUUGUUUCGUCUGUUUCCUGCCAUCUUGCAGUUAACCUGGUUUCUUAAUGUAAAGUACUUGUAAUUUGCCCACUUGUCCUUAAUUAUCUUAAAGCUAACAUUUAAAACUAAUUUGCUAUGAGAUUAUUUGCCAAGACUUCUCACUGUGCGAUUCACAUGUCAAUAUGUAUUAUUGUGUGUAUAACUAGCUAUUUGGAAUUCAAAUGAUUUGUAUUCAUUAAAGAAUCUGUUUUAAUUGCAAAGUUGUUUUUGUACUAAUCAUUGUAAGUUCACAGAUAACAAACUAUUUACUGCUUCUCUACUCAUACAGUAUAGAAUAAAUGUUUUGUUUUACUAUUGUAAACCAUUAAUAGUGUAUUUCCCAUAUGUAUAUGUUUGUCCUUACCAAUUGCCAUUUCUAUGCUGCUUGAAGAGCAUUAAAUUAGUAAAAUAAUUAUUUUUUACAGUAGGUAUCCCAUUAA